AGAGCGGGAGCCCGGAGAUGGGCACUGAGACAAGGGCCCAGGCCCUACGGGGCGCAGCAGUCGCGAAAACUCCGCAAUGCACGAAAGUGUGACGGGGCUACCCCGAGUGCCGUCCGCUGAGGAUGGCUUUUCCCCGGUGUAAUGAGCCGGGGGAAUAAGGAGAGGGCAAGACUGGUGUCAGCCGCCGCGGUAAUACCAGCUCUCCGAGUGGUAGGGAUGAUUAUUGGGCUUAAAGCGUCCGUAGCCGGCUUAGCAAGUCUCCUGUUAAAUUCAGCGACUUAAUCGUUGAGCCGCGGGAGAUACUACUAGGCUAGGAGGCGGGAGAGGCCGACGGUAUUCUCGGGGUAGGGGUGAAAUCCUAUAAUCCCGGGAGGACCACCAGUGGCGAAGGCUGUCGGCU
rnacentral:rRNA from 1 species